UACGGGGGGGGGCAAGCGUUGUUCGGAAUUACUGGGCGUAAAGGGCCAGUAGGCGGCCAACUAAGUCGGAUGUGAAAUCCCCCGGCUUAACCUGGGAACUGCGUCUGAUACUGGAAGGCUUGAGGAUGGGAGAGGGAUGUAGAAUCCCAGGUGUAGCGGUGAAAUGCGUAGAUAUCUGGAGGAAUACCGGUGGCGAAGGCGGCAUCCUGGACCAUUACUGACGCUGAGGCGCGAAAGCUAGGGGAGCAAACGGG
rnacentral:rRNA from 1 species